UACAGAGGGUGCGAGCGUUGUUCGGAAUUACUGGGCGUAAAGCGCACGUAGGCGGCUUUGUAAGUUAGAGGUGAAAGCCCGGGGCUCAACUCCGGAACUGCCUUUAAGACUGCAUCGCUUGAAUCCAGGAGAGGUGAGUGGAAUUCCGAGUGUAGAGGUGAAAUUCGUAGAUAUUCGGAAGAACACCAGUGGCGAAGGCGGCUCACUGGACUGGUAUUGACGCUGAGGUGCGAAAGCGUGGGGAGCAAACAGG
rnacentral:rRNA from 1 species